GGAGGGAGCGAACGUUGUUCGGGAAUUACUGGGGCGUAGAGGGGCGUGUAGGCGGUCGAGUAAGUCAGGUGUGAAAUCUUGCUGCUUAACAGUAAACCUGCAUUUGAAACUGCCCGACUUGAGGUCAGGAGAGGAGAGCGGAAUUCCCAGUGUAGCGGUGGAAUGCGUAGAUAUUGGGAAGAACACCAGUGGCGAAGGCGGCUCUCUGGACUGAUUCUGACGCUGAGGCGCGAAAGCUAGGGGAGCAAACAGGAUUAGAUACCCUGGUAGUCCUAGCCGUAAACGAUGGGCACUAGGUGCUGGGAAUAUCGACAUUUUCAGCGCCGUAGCUAACGCAUUAAGUGCCCCGCCUGGGGAGUACGACCGCAAGGUUG
rnacentral:rRNA from 1 species